AUACUCUGGUUUCUCUUCAGAUCGUACAAAUCUUUCGCCUUUUACUAAAGAUUUCCGUGGAGAGGAACAAUUUUGAGUUUCAUUUUAAUUUUUUGAGGCCUUGCUUUAGCAGGGCU
ensembl:snRNA U5 U5 spliceosomal RNA